CAGCCCUAAACGAUGCGCGUUAGGUGUAUCGGUGACCACGAGUCACCGAGGUGCCGAAGGGAAACCGUGAAACGUGCCGCCUGGGAAGUACGGUCGCAAGGCUGAAACUUAAAGGAAUUGGCGGGGGGAGCACCACAACGGGUGGAGCCUGCGGUUUAAUUGGACUCAACGCCGGGAAGCUUACCGGAUAAGACAGCGGAAUGAUUGCCGGGCUGAAGACCCUGCAUGACCAGCUGAGAGGAGGUGCAUGGCGUAGUCGUGU
rnacentral:rRNA from 1 species